rfam:Eucalyptus grandis cultivar BRASTZ1 unplaced genomic scaffold scaffold_1, whole genome shotgun sequence.
GGGAGAAGUAGACAUGGCGUGAUAUUGGUCCGGCUCAUCUUUCUGCGUUUCAUGCUUACUAUGAGCUAUGUAAUAUCUUCAAGACGAGCCGAAUCAAUAUCACUCUUGUAUGCUUCUUU